rnacentral:rRNA from 1 species
GAUGAACGCUGGCGGCGUGCCUAAUACAUGCAAGUCGAGCGAACGGACGAGAAGCUUGCUUCUCUGAUGUUAGCGGCGGACGGGUGAGUAACACGUGGAUAACCUACCUAUAAGACUGGGAUAACUUCGGGAAACCGGAGCUAAUACCGGAUAAUAUUUUGAACCGCAUGGUUCAAAAGUGAAAGACGGUCUUGCUGUCACUUAUAGAUGGAUCCGCGCUGCAUUAGCUAGUUGGUAAGGUAACGGCUUACCAAGGCAACGAUGCAUAGCCGACCUGAGAGGGUGAUCGGCCACACUAGAGCUGAGACACGGUCCAGACUCCUGCGAGAGGCCGCAGUAGGGAAUCUUCCGCAAUGGGCGAAAGCCUGACGGAGCGACGCCGCGUGAGUGAUGGAGGUCUUCGGAUCGUAAAACUCUGUUAUUAGGGAAGAACAUAUGUGUAAGUAACUGUGCACAUCGUGACGGUACCUAGUCAGAAAGCCACGGCUAACUACGUG